UACCAUGGCAGUCGAACGAUGAUUAUCUAGCUUGCUAGAUAUGAUUAGUGGCGGACGGGUGAGUAACAUUUAGGAAUCUGCCUAGUAGUGGGGGAUAGCUCGGGGAAACUCGAAUUAAUACCGCAUACGACCUACGGGUGAAAGGGGGCGCAAGCUCUUGCUAUUAGAUGAGCCUAAAUCAGAUUAGCUAGUUGGUGGGGUAAAGGCCCACCAAGGCGACGAUCUGUAACUGGUCUGAGAGGAUGAUCAGUCACACCGGAACUGAGACACGGUCCGGACUCCUACGGGAGGCAGCAGUGGGGAAUAUUGGACAAUGGGGGCAACCCUGAUCCAGCCAUGCCGCGUGUGUGAAGAAGGCCUUUUGGUUGUAAAGCACUUUAAGCAGGGAGGAGAGGCUAAUGGUUAAUACCCAUUAGAUUAGACGUUACCUGCAGAAUAAGCACCGGCUAACUCUGUGCCAGCAGCCGCGGUAAUACAGAGGGUGCGAGCGUUAAUCGGAAUUACUGGGCGUAAAGCGAGUGUAGGUGGCUCAUUAAGUCACAUGUGAAAUCCCCGGGCUUAACCUGGGAACUGCAUGUGAUACUGGUGGUGCUAGAAUAUGUGAGAGGGAAGUAGAAUUCCAGGUGUAGCGGUGAAAUGCGUAGAGAUCUGGAGGAAUACCGAUGGCGAAGGCAGCUUCCUGGCAUAAUAUUGACACUGAGAUUCGAAAGCGUGGGUAGCAAACAGGAUUAGAUACCCUGGUAGUCCACGCCGUAAACGAUGUCUACUAGCCGUUGGGGUCCUUGAGACUUUAGUGGCGCAGUUAACGCGAUAAGUAGACCGCCUGGGGAGUACGGCCGCAAGGUUAAAACUCAAAUGAAUUGACGGGGGCCCGCACAAGCGGUGGAGCAUGUGGUUUAAUUCGAUGCAACGCGAAGAACCUUACCUGGUCUUGACAUAGUGAGAAUCCUGUAGAGAUGCGGGAGUGCCUUCGGGAAUUCACAUACAGGUGCUGCAUGGCUGUCGUCAGCUCGUGUCGUGAGAUGUUGGGUUAAGUCCCGCAACGAGCGCAACCC
rnacentral:rRNA from 1 species